GGUCAACGAAUCCGGCCUUCUUUUCGCCUGAAUGAAGGAUGGGUCCGGUGUAUCCUUCAAUAGGUAGCAUUUCCCAAGAUGCCUUGCGGGCCGGCCGGCAGAAAAACUUAAAAACAAUGGCGGACAGUGAAGCGGGAGCUGUCGGAGAGGAUUGCGCAUAUAAAUGAACAAAAGAGAAAACCAGGGAAUUUAUUAAGCUUAGGGCGGAGAUGGACCACAUGAUCACCGGAGCAAAGUAUUCGGCGGCUGUGGCAUGGAGACUAUUCUGGAGAAAAUGGGCAUCCAGGGGAAGGUGCCAGCGAUGACCAGCUUCUGGAGCUGAUCAGGAAGGACAAGAGGCUGCAGAGGGAGGCAGAGCAGCAGAGGGCCCAGGAGAGAAGGAAGAACUUUGACAGCUUUUUACUUUGCUAGAAAAAAAUGGUUAAUAAAGAUUAAACAUGUACAUAUAAAAGAAAUAUCUAAAUAAAAUCAGUUCUGCAUCAAACCCUUGAAUUUUAUUUUGGUUUACAAAUGAGAAUUGUUUACUAGAGGGUAUCCCGCUGGGUCUGAAAAGUCUUAAAAGGUGAUAAAUCGGUUUUGGUCAAAUGAAGACCCUUAGAAAGUAUUAAAAACUAUUAACACAUCUUUGCUCAGGCUCAGCUU